rnacentral:lncRNA from 1 species
UGGAUUAGGACUGUCGUGACAAGCAAGUACGUUGGUUUCUCGCUGAUGCCACUGGAGAAACAGGUUGAUCGUUCGUCAAUGUAGUCUUCAACUUAGACUGUCGCCACGUUUAGGUGAUGUUGAGGUCGGACUUUCACCAACCUCAAUUUUCAGACAAGAUCGAUCUCCUGGUGAGACCGACUUCUUGAGGACCAUGGUCUCUUGAUGACGUCGGCUUUUGCCGAGUUAGAC